UAAUGUGGUUCCUACGGCGGAGAAGGGAAGUGGAGAAAACAGCCACAGGACGGAUGUGGGAGCCAAGUUGGUGUCAGAACCAGGUAAUAUCCGGGCUGGGUUUUGAAGAGCCAGAGUGGGAAAAGCUGGGCAACACCCUACCGCAAGGCGCUGGCACUUUUCUCUGUUUUCUGAAUGGAACGAGGACAAGCUCUUGUCAAAGAGAGCAGCAGCGGCGAGCUCAAAAGUGAUGGGAGUCUAGACAUGCCGAAUUUGAUGAUCGGAUCAAAGGUUUCUCGGAACCUGCUGAAGAAGGCCACGGAUACAGCCAAACAAUUUGCAGUGCCAAAGCCAGACAUGCUAAGAGGACAGGUGUGGGCCUAUUGCCUCCACACAUGCACGCAGCCGGGACUGGGAUUUCAAUAAUGUCAUUCAAAAAGGAGCUGAAUAGGAGUCAGUAGGGGCCCCGCUCGGUCCUGC